UACGAAGGGGGCUAGCGUUGUUCGGAAUCACUGGGCGUAAAGCGGGUGUAGGUGGCUCAGCAAGUUAGGUGUGAAAGCCCCGGGCUCAACCUGGGAAGUGCAUCUAAAACUACUGAGCUUGAGUACGGGAGAGGGAAGCAGAAUUCCUGGUGUAGUGGUGAAAUACGUAGAUAUCAGGAGGAACACCGGUGGCGAAGGCGGUUUCCUGGCCCAGUACUGACACUCAGACCCGAAAGCGUGGGUAGCAAACAGG
rnacentral:rRNA from 1 species